UACGUAGGGACCGAGCGUUGUCCGGAAUCAUUGGGCGUAAAGAGCGUGUAGGCGGCCAAUUAAGUCCUGCGUGAAAUCUCGGGGCUCAACCCCGAGCGGUCGUGGGAAACUGGUUGGCUAGAGUGCGGGAGAGGAGAGUGGAAUUCCUGGUGUAGCGGUGAAAUGCGCAGAUAUCAGGAAGAACACCCGUGGCGAAGGCGGAUCUCUGGGCCUUGCCUGACGCUGAGGCGCGAAAGCUAGGGUAGCAAACGGG
rnacentral:rRNA from 1 species